CUUCGAGAGUGGACGCGUGUUUCUGUGGUUCGCGUUGUCUCAAAUAUCCGGCCUCGCGGGGACACUACGCUGUUGUCAACAAAGCCGUUUCACAGGAGACCAGAAAAACAAUAGAAGAAUUCAUUAGUCGCUGAUAGCCAUGGGCAAGGUCGUGGUGCUAGUUCUCAGCGUGGUCUGCAUAGCGGCCCAGCUGGCGGUGGCGUCAAAGGAGAAACACAUCAAGCACACCGAGAAAGAUCUGCUCCGGAAGUCGAUCGUGUACGACAAAAACACGCCGGAUGUGUUCUACUGUCCGAUCAACAAGCCGACCGGCAUGGACAAGAUGAUCGUCAGAUCACGACCCCUUCACAAGCUGUGCGAACACGAAGGCAAACCACUUCCAGCGGACUACAAGUCCGACUGCUACAAGGACGUCGACGAGUCGAACUACGCGUGCAAGGAAAAGUACCGGAUCAUGAAACGCUCCGCCAAGGAGAAUGUCGAGAUCUAGUUACUGCACAGGAUUUUCGCGCGUACGAGUGAUGUUGGCAUUUUUCACCUACAGACACACCGUGUUACAACCGACGUACAUUGGCAUUACUUUCGCCAGUUGACCUUCUACCGAUUCUCGGAUUCUCUACGCUGACUUUACCGACCGGUCCUACCGAAACUGAUUCUAUCUAAUGUGUCUAAACUCUGCCCACAAUCGUAGCAUUUUCCUCUCUUUCUCAUAGACCGCGAUUCUGUUAGUUCAACAACUGUUCCUUUAUUGUAAUUAAUCUUAGCUAACAUUUAACUUACCAAAAAGAAAGAUCGUACACCACGGCGUCGCAAUCGAACGUUUGUGUCCGUAUUAACGUAGCAUUGAAGCAACGUUUCGCUCGGUCGUAUCAAUCGGUUACCAAAUGGAGCAAAACAAACCCAUCGUGUUUCUUAAUCAAUAACAUUAUAAGCUUAACCUGCUAAUAGAUAACUUGAGCAUUAAUGCAUGUGCUUAUCGUAUAACCUCUUUCCUAACCCUUACCUUCAACGCCUGUGAGGUCGCUUUCCCUGAAUUUGUUUCGAGGUGUGUUGUAACAAUCAUCGAAAGCCUUAGAAGCAGAAAACAUUAAAACAAUGGUGCCGAAAUCGCUUGCGAUGCCUAAUCCUCCUAACGUUUGACUAAAUGAGGACCUACGACUGGGACCAAGGAACACCUACUCACGUAUAUAUACUCACCGCACACACACACACACCCAGACUUGAUACGCAAAGGUUGAAAGCAUAUCUCGCUUUGCAAACGAAAUUCACUCUAUGCAAAAACAUCCCUUUAAAAUCCGCAUCACGCUACACACAAACGCCAGCUAAACGCUAUACACGGGAAAGCAGGUGCUAUACACGAAAGAUGCGGCUUAAUCCACCCGGAAGUGACGCCCCGUUCAAUGGACAGCGACUGAGCCGAUUCAUGGCGAUGGACGACGACAUGAAGCGACUCAAGGCGAAGAAACACUAGAAACAAGUUCUGUGAAAAGCUAGGUUCCUGCUUCUGUUUGCCAUACUAACGAAUCGCAGCGUGUGGUCCUGUGUGACAAACAUCUUGCUUUCUCGUGUAUCCGAACUCGUCGGACGAGUGUCGGUAUUGUUAAAUUUUGUUCAAGUUUUUGGGGGCACACUUUUACUCAGAUUCGACGUGCAAAAGCGACCGAGCAGUGCGUACAGCACAGCACAGCGAUUUCACCGUGAUAACAACUGUUAAUAGCAAGCAAAUACGAAAUAAACCAUUAAAAUCUCU